rnacentral:rRNA from 1 species
GAUUAAGUUAUUAAGGGCGCACGGUGGAUGCCUUGGCACUAGAAGCCGAUGAAGGACGUUACUAACGACGAUAUGCUUUGGGGAGCUGUAAGUAAGCUUUGAUCCAGAGAUUUCCGAAUGGGGAAACCCAGCAUGAGUUAUGUCAUGUUAUCGAUAUGUGAAUACAUAGCAUAUCAGAAGGCACACCCGGAGAACUGAAACAUCUUAGUACCCGGAGGAAGAGAAAGAAAAUUCGAUUCCCUUAGUAGCGGCGAGCGAAACGGGAAGAGCCCAAACCAACAAGCUUGCUUGUUGGGGUUGUAGGACACUCUAUACGGAGUUACAAAGGACGACAUUAGACGAAUCAUCUGGAAAGAUGAAUCAAAGAAGGUAAUAAUCCUGUAGUCGAAAAUGUUGUCUCUCUUGAGUGGAUCCUGAGUACGACGGAGCACGUGAAAUUCCGUCGGAAUCUGGGAGGACCAUCUCCUAAGGCUAAAUACUCUCUAGUGACCGAUAGUGAACCAGUACCGUGAGGGAAAGGUGAAAAGCACCCCGGAAGGGGAGUGAAAUAGAACCUGAAACCGUGUGCUUACAAGUAGUCAGAGCCCGUUAAUGGGUGAUGGCGUGCCUUUUGUAGAAUGAACCGGCGAGUUACGAUUUGAUGCAAGGUUAAGCAGUAAAUGUGGAGCCGUAGCGAAAGCGAGUCUGAAUAGGGCGUUUAGUAUUUGGUCGUAGACCCGAAACCAGGUGAUCUACCCUUGGUCAGGUUGAAGUUCAGGUAACACUGAAUGGAGGACCGAACCGACUUACGUUGAAAAGUGAGCGGAUGAACUGAGGGUAGCGGAGAAAUUCCAAUCGAACCUGGAGAUAGCUGGUUCUCUCCGAAAUAGCUUUAGGGCUAGCCUCAAGUGAUGAUUAUUGGAGGUAGAGCACUGUUUGGACGAGGGGCCCCUCUCGGGUUACCGAAUUCAGACAAACUCCGAAUGCCAAUUAAUUUAACUUGGGAGUCAGAACAUGGGUGAUAAGGUCCGUGUUCGAAAGGGAAACAGCCCAGACCACCAGCUAAGGUCCCAAAAUAUAUGUUAAGUGGAAAAGGAUGUGGCGUUGCCCAGACAACUAGGAUGUUGGCUUAGAAGCAGCCAUCAUUUAAAGAGUGCGUAAUAGCUCACUAGUCGAGUGACACUGCGCCGAAAAUGUACCGGGGCUAAACAUAUUACCGAAGCUGUGGAUUGUCCUUUGGACAAUGGUAGGAGAGCGUUCUAAGGGCGUUGAAGCAUGAUCGUAAGGACAUGUGGAGCGCUUAGAAGUGAGAAUGCCGGUGUGAGUAGCGAAAGACGGGUGAGAAUCCCGUCCACCGAUUGACUAAGGUUUCCAGAGGAAGGCUCGUCCGCUCUGGGUUAGUCGGGUCCUAAGCUGAGGCCGACAGGCGUAGGCGAUGGAUAACAGGUUGAUAUUCCUGUACCACCUAUAAUCGUUUUAAUCGAUGGGGGGACGCAGUAGGAUAGGCGAAGCGUGCGAUUGGAUUGCACGUCUAAGCAGUAAGGCUGAGUAUUAGGCAAAUCCGGUACUCGNNNNNNNNNNNNNNNNNNNNNNNNNNNNNNNNNNNNNNNNNNNNNNNNNNNNNNNNNNNNNNNNNNNNNNNNNNNNNNNNNNNNNNNNNNNNNNNNNCAUUAAGGCUGAGCUGUGAUGGGGAGAAGACAUUGUGUCUUCGAGUCGUUGAUUUCACACUGCCGAGAAAAGCCUCUAGAUAGAAAAUAGGUGCCCGUACCGCAAACCGACACAGGUAGUCAAGAUGAGAAUUCUAAGGUGAGCGAGCGAACUCUCGUUAAGGAACUCGGCAAAAUGACCCCGUAACUUCGGGAGAAGGGGUGCUCUUUAGGGUUAACGCCCAGAAGAGCCGCAGUGAAUAGGCCCAAGCGACUGUUUAUCAAAAACACAGGUCUCUGCUAAACCGUAAGGUGAUGUAUAGGGGCUGACGCCUGCCCGGUGCUGGAAGGUUAAGAGGAGUGGUUAGCUUCUGCGAAGCUACGAAUCGAAGCCCCAGUAAACGGCGGCCGUAACUAUAACGGUCCUAAGGUAGCGAAAUUCCUUGUCGGGUAAGUUCCGACCCGCACGAAAGGCGUAACGAUUUGGGCACUGUCUCAACGAGAGACUCGGUGAAAUCAUAGUACCUGUGAAGAUGCAGGUUACCCGCGACAGGACGGAAAGACCCCGUGGAGCUUUACUGUAGCCUGAUAUUGAAAUUCGGCACAGCUUGUACAGGAUAGGUAGGAGCCUUUGAAACGUGAGCGCUAGCUUACGUGGAGGCGCUGGUGGGAUACUACCCUAGCUGUGUUGGCUUUCUAACCCGCACCACUUAUCGUGGUGGGAGACAGUGUCAGGCGGGCAGUUUGACUGGGGCGGUCGCCUCCUAAAAGGUAACGGAGGCGCUCAAAGGUUCCCUCAGAAUGGUUGGAAAUCAUUCAUAGAGUGUAAAGGCAUAAGGGAGCUUGACUGCGAGACCUACAAGUCGAGCAGGGUCGAAAGACGGACUUAGUGAUCCGGUGGUUCCGCAUGGAAGGGCCAUCGCUCAACGGAUAAAAGCUACCCCGGGGAUAACAGGCUUAUCUCCCCCAAGAGUUCACAUCGACGGGGAGGUUUGGCACCUCGAUGUCGGCUCAUCGCAUCCUGGGGCUGUAGUCGGUCCCAAGGGUUGGGCUGUUCGCCCAUUAAAGCGGUACGCGAGCUGGGUUCAGAACGUCGUGAGACAGUUCGGUCCCUAUCCGUCGUGGGCGUAGGAAAUUUGAGAGGAGCUGUCCUUAGUACGAGAGGACCGGGAUGGACAUACCUCUGGUGUACCAGUUGUCGUGCCAACGGCAUAGCUGGGUAGCUAUGUGUGGACGGGAUAAGUGCUGAAAGCAUCUAAGCAUGAAGCCCCCCUCAAGAUGAGAUUUCCCAACUUCGGUUAUAAGAUCCCUCAAAGAUGAUGAGGUUAAUAGGUUCGAGGUGGAAGCAUGGUGACAUGUGGAGCUGACGAAUACUAAUCGAUCGAAGACUUAAUCAA